rnacentral:rRNA from 1 species
CGGCAGCACAGUAAGAGCUUGCUCUUAUGGGUGGCGAGUGGCGGACGGGUGAGGAAUACAUCGGAAUCUACUUUUUCGUGGGGGAUAACGUACCGGAAACUUACGCUAAUACCGCAAACNACCUUCGGGUGAAAGCAGGGGACCUUCGGGCCUUGCGCGAUUGAAUGANCCGAUCUCGGAUUAGCUAGUUGGCGGGGUAAA